CCGGAUCUCAGAUCAAGUAAGAUUACCCGCC
rnacentral:rRNA from 1 species